rnacentral:tRNA from 1 species
GGAGAGGUGGCCGAGUCGGCUGAAGGCAGCUGCCUGCUAAGCAGUUGUACCUGAAAGGGUACCCCGGGUUCGAAUCCCGGCCUCUCCG